rnacentral:lncRNA from 1 species
AAACUGCAAUGUGUUGCAAAUAGGACAAGCAUCCAAUUUCUCAUAUUCCUCGCCGCGAUAAAGGAUACAAUCAUUAGUACAUGCGUGUAUCUUCUAUACAUCCAAUCCUAGAGGGCAAACAACCUUUUUUGCUUCAUAUGUGGUUGAGGGAAGUUCAUUACCCUUAGGAAGUAUGUUCUUUACGAUUUUCAAUAGCUCUCUAAAUCCCUAUCGGUCACACCAUUUGCUGCCUUCCACUGCAUCAAUUCCAUUGUGCUACCCGAGUUUUUGUGACCCUGUUUGCAAUCGAGGUACAACAACUUUUUAUGAUCCUCCAAC